GAUGAACGCUGGCGGCGUGCCUAAUACAUGCAAGUCGAGCGAACAGACGAGGAGCUUGCUCCUCUGACGUUAGCGGCGGACGGGUGAGCAACACGUGGAUAACCUACCUAUAAGACUGGGAUAACUUCGGGAAACCGGAGCUAAUACCGGAUAAUAUAUUGAACCGCAUGGUUCAAUAGUGAAAGACGGUUUUGCUGUCACUUAUAGAUGGAUCCGCGCCGCAUUAGCUAGUUGGUAAGGUAACGGCUUACCAAGGCAACGAUGCGUAGCCGACCUGAGAGGGUGAUCGGCCACACUGGAACUGAGACACGGUCCAGACUCCUGCGGGAGGCAGCAGUAGGGAAUCUUCCGCAAUGGGCGAAAGCCUGACGGAGCAACGCCGCGUGAGUGAUGAAGGUCUUCGGAUCGUAAAACUCUGUUAUUAGGGAAGAACAAAUGUGUAAGUAACUAUGCACGUCUUGACGGUACCUAAUCAGAAAGCCACGGCUAACUACGUG
rnacentral:rRNA from 1 species